rnacentral:rRNA from 1 species
GUAGGUGGCAAGCGUUGUCCGGAAUUAUUGGGCGUAAAGCGCGCGCAGGCGGUUCUUUAAGUCUGAUGUGAAAGCCCACGGCUCAACCGUGGAGGGUCAUUGGAAACUGGAGAACUUGAGUACAGAAGAGGAAAGCGGAAUUCCACGUGUAGCGGUGAAAUGCGUAGAGAUGUGGAGGAACACCAGUGGCGAAGGCGGCUUUCUGGUCUGUAACUGACGCUGAGGCGCGAAAGCGUGGGGAGCAAACAGGGAUUAGAUGCCCUGGUAGUCCACGCCGUAAACGAUGAGUGCUAAGUGUUAGGGGGGUUUUCCGCCCCCCUUAGUGCUGCAGCUAACGCAUUAAGCACUCCGCCUGGGAGUACGGCCGCAAGGCUG